AUUGAACGCUGGCGGCAUGCUUUACACAUGCAAGUCGAACGGCAGCGCGGGCUUCGGCCUGGCGGCGAGUGGCGAACGGGUGAGUAAUACAUCGGAACGUGCCCAGUAGUGGGGGAUAGCUCGGCGAAAGCCGGAUUAAUACCGCAUACGACCUGAGGGUGAAAGCGGGGGAUCUUCGGACCUCGCGCUAUUGGAGCGGCCGAUGGCAGAUUAGCUAGUUGGUGGGGUAAAGGCCUACCAAGGCGACGAUCUGUAGCUGGUCUGAGAGGACGACCAGCCACACUGGGACUGAGACACGGCCCAGACUCCUACGGGAGGCAGCAGUGGGGAAUUGUGGACAAUGGGCGAAAGCCUGAUCCAGCAAUGCCGCGUGUGAUGAAGGCCUUCGGGUUGUAAAGCACUUUUGGCGGGAACGAAAAGGACUGUGCCAAUACCACGGUUCGAUGACGGUACCCGCAGAAUAAGCACCGGCUAACUACGUG
rnacentral:rRNA from 1 species